rnacentral:rRNA from 1 species
UGAACGCUGGCGGCGUGCCUACUACAUGCAAGUCGCGCGACCAGACGCGGAGCUUGCUCCUCUGACGUUAGCGGCGGACGGGUGAGUAACACGUGGAUAACCUACCUAUAAGACUGGGAUAACUUCGGGAAACCGGAGCUAAUACCGGAUAAUAUAUUGAACCGCAUGGUUCAAUAGUGAAAGACGGUUUUGCUGUCACUUAUAGAUGGAUCCGCGCCGCAUUAGCUAGUUGGUAAGGUAACGGCUUACCAAGGCAACGAUGCGUAGCCGACCUGAGAGGGUGAUCGGCCACACUGGAACUGAGACACGGUCCAGACUCCUACGGGAGGCAGCAGUAGGGAAUCUUCCGCAAUGGGCGAAAGCUUGACGGAGCAACGCCGCGUGAGUGAUGAAGGUCUUCGGAUCGUAAAACUCUGUUAUUAGGGAAGAACAAAUGUGUAAGUAACUAUGCACGUCUUGACGGUACCUAAUCAGAAAGCCACGGCUAACUACGUG